ensembl:lncRNA
UCUCUCUCUCUUUCUCUCUCUCUCUCUCUAUAUAUAUAUAUAUCUUUCUCCCUCUCUCCCUCUCUGUCUCUCUCUCUCUCUCUCUCUCCCUCUCUCUUUCUCCCUCUCUCCCUCUCUGUCUUUCUCCCUCUCUCUCUCUCACUUUCUCUGCCUGUGCAGCCUCUGUCUUCUGUCUGUGUGUCAAGAGUUUGGAUCUUGUUGGUCACAUGUUGUGUUGUUGUGGCUACAGGUGCUGAGUCAUAAAAUGGAGUACAAGAAGAACUGUGACACACUCUCUGAGAAGAACUCAUUUGAUGCAGAGGGAAAUGCCACAAACAACCAGGAGCUGAAGGCUGGUCCAUACGAUGGCCUCCAGAAAGCUGAAAAAGAAGAAAUACAAUAUUCUCUGGACAAACAUGACAAUUCAGACUCAG